GACGAACGCUGGCGGCGUGCUUAACACAUGCAAGUCGAACGAUGAACCCGGAGCUUGCUCUGGGGGAUUAGUGGCGAACGGGUGAGUAACACGUGAGUAACCUGCCCUGGACUCUGGGAUAAGCGUUGGAAACGACGUCUAAUACCGGAUAGGACCUUGGAUCGCAUGAUCUGGGGUGGAAAGUUUUUUCGGUCUGGGAUGGACUCGCGGCCUAUCAGCUUGUUGGUGAGGUAAUGGCUCACCAAGGCGUCGACGGGUAGCCGGCCUGAGAGGGUGACCGGCCACACUGGGACUGAGACACGGCCCAGACUCCUACGGGAGGCAGCAGUGGGGAAGAUUGCACAAUGGGCGAAAGCCUGAGGCAGCAACGCGGCGUGCGGGAUGACGGCCUUCGGGUUGUAAACCGAUUUUAGUAGGGAAGAAGGGCUUCGGCUUGACGGUACCUGCAGAAAAAGGACCGGCUAACUACGUG
rnacentral:rRNA from 1 species